AUUUUAAAGCUCUUAGUAUAUGAAAAUUAUAUACGAACAAGCAUAUUUCCAACUGGAAUUUUACAUAUUUUAUAACUUCUCUUCGCAAAAAUUGCGUAUAUUUAGUGACAAAUGAGCAACACACAUAGGUAAGCAACAUUUACAAUCGAUUAGAGUUUUAUAAACUUCUUGAAUUAACUUAUAUUUCUCAAUAAACUGGGUGCCGCAUCCUUGACGAAGUCUGCGGUUUUAACACACACGCAAUGUUAUCAGAAACUAACUGUAACGCGCUUAUUUCCAAUCAUCCAAUGUAUACUACUUUUAUAAACUUCUGGAUUAGACUUAUCAUUCUUAUCAGAUGGGUGUCGCAUCCUUGACGUAGUCUGUGGUUUUAAAACCCAUGCAAUAUUAUCACAACGCACAUAAUAUAAGGAGAAUAAUUUUUUAUUAAGUUAGUCAAACGUAACGAUACACUGCAAGUUAAAACAUGGCGAGUAGGCAAAAUUCUGCAAAAAAUCGUCGAGGAGGACAAUAUUGUGUUGCUGGUUGGCCCAACGGAAAAAGUUGUACAAACAGUCAACACACAGAGGGUGUCUCAGUACAUCGUUUCCCCAUGAAUGACAAGGAGAGGCUGAAUAAAUGGACGAAAUUUGUUAGGAGACAUAGGCCAAAAUUCGUUCCUCAGCAGUACUCUGUGCUAUGUUCAAUGCAUUUCGCAGAUUCUGCAUUCACCGUGAACGCAACAGUUGCAAAAUCGCUAAACAUGAGACGACGAUUGCGAAAUGGAAAUCCAUUGCUAGGCACAUUACAAACAAGCAUGAAAACCAUCCAGAUGAGUUGUUUCCUAAAUGUGCUCAUGGAGAGCUAGAUGAACGUCUAUGGCUUCAAGUUGAUGGGAUUGUAUUCUUUUUAAGGAACUAAAUCAUAUCAGCGACUUUCCUCCAUUCUGUUGAAAAAAUCUGUUCUCAAAGAUGUUAAAAAACUAUCUUCAGAAGCACAAACUAGUUGUCUCGAAGGUUUUCAUUCAACAUUAAAUGGUUGGCAUCCAAAGAUGACCCACUUUUCUUGGCUUGGUACAUAUUGCAGGUAACUUGUAAUCACUGUUCUCUAUCUGCCAAGCCUUUUUUACUUGUUCCUAGUCAAGAAAAAAAAUUACA